UAUACAUCUGCGGCAAGGAUUUUCCAAAGCUCAUAAAAUAUGUUGCUGUCAUCACCUUUGUCUCUGCUUGUACAUUAGAGACCAGAGUUGAAAAACAGCACAACAUAU
rfam:Setaria italica strain Yugu1 chromosome VIII, whole genome shotgun sequence.